rnacentral:rRNA from 1 species
AACGCGAAGAACCUUACCUGGGUUUGACAUCCCAUGAAAAGUGCAGAAACGCAUAAUAGCCGCAAGGCACAUGGAGACAGGUGCUGCAUGGCUGUCGUCAGCUCGUGUCGUGAGAUGUUGGGUUAAGUCCCGCAACGAGCGCAACCCUUUCCCUUAUUUGCCAGCAUUAAGUUGGGCACUCUAGGGGUACUGCCAAUGAUAAAUUGGAGGAAGGUGGGGACGAGGUCAAGUCAUCAUGGCUCUUACAUCCAGGGCAACACACGUACUACAAUGGCCAAGACAAAGCGAAGCGAGAUCGUAAGAUUUAGCAAAUCGCAAAAACAUGGUCUCAGUUCGGAUUGUGGUCUGCAACUCGACCACAUGAAGUUGGAAUCUCUAGUAAUCGCAGAUCAGCAGGCUGCGGUGAAUACGUUCUCGGGCCUUGUACACACCGGAGUA